GACGAACGCUGGCGGCGUGCUUAACACAUGCAAGUCGAACGAAGUGGCGAACGGGUGAGGAAUACGGGAGUAACCUGCCGUCCUUUUUGGGAUAAGCCUGGGAAACGGGGUCUAAUACCGGAUAAAGGGGGAUGGGCUCGCGGCCUAUCGGCUUGUUGGUGGGGUAAUGGCGUACCAAGGCGGUGGCGGGUCGCCGGCCUGAGAGGGUGAACGGCCACAUGGGGACGGCGAUACGGCCCAGGGUAGGAAGGGGGGGGGAAGUGGGGGAUAGGGCACAAUGGGGGAAAGACUAAUGCCGCGUCGCCGAGGGGGGGAUGAAGGUUUUCAGGUUGUAAUGCUCUUUCGGUAUCGAACGGGUAUGUGGAGAAGAAGCGCCGGCUAACUACGUGCCAGCAGCCGCGGUAAUUC
rnacentral:rRNA from 1 species